rnacentral:rRNA from 1 species
GUGGGGAAUCUUGCGCAAUGGGCGAAAGCCUGACGCAGCCAUGCCGCGUGAAUGAUGAAGGUCUUAGGAUUGUAAAAUUCUUUCACCGGGGACGAUAAUGACGGUACCCGGAGAAGAAGCUCCGGCUAACUUCGUGCCAGCAGCCGCGGUAAUACGAAGGGGGCUAGCGUUGCUCGGAAUUACUGGGCGUAAAGGGCGCGUAGGCGGACAGCUUAGUCAGAGGUGAAAGCCCAGGGCUCAACCUUGGAAUUGCCUUUGAUACUGGCUGUCUUGAGUUUGGGAGAGGUGAGUGGAACUCCGAGUGUAGAGGUGAAAUUCGUAGAUAUUCGGAAGAACACCAGUGGCGAAGGCGACCACCUGGACUGAUACUGACACUGAGGUGCGAAAGCGUGGGGAGCAAACAGGAUUAGAUACCCUAGUAGUCC